rnacentral:rRNA from 1 species
GUGACCUACGGGGCGCAGCAGUAGGGAAUCUUCCACAAUGGGCGAAAGCCUGAUGGAGCAACGCCGCGUGGGGGAGGAAGGUCUUCGGAUCGUAAAACCCUGUUGUUAGAGAAGAAAGUGCGUGAGAGUAACUGUUCACGUUUCGACGGUAUCUAACCAGAAAGCCACGGCUAACUACGUGCCAGCAGCCGCGGUAAUACGUAGGUGGCAAGCGUUAUCCGGAUUUAUUGGGCGUAAAGGGAACGCAGGCGGUCUUUUAAGUCUGAUGUGAAAGCCUUCGGCUUAAACGGGAUAGCGCAUUGGAA